CCUACGGGAGGCUGCAGUGGGGAAUAUUGGACAAUGGGGGCAACCCUGAUCCAGCCAUGCCGCGUGUGUGAAGAAGGCCCUCGGGUUGUAAAGCACUUUCAGUGAGGAAGAACGCCUGGUGGUUAAUACCCAUCAGGAAAGACAUCACUCACAGAAGAAGCACCGGCUAACUCCGUGCCAGCAGCCGCAGUAAUACGGAGGGUGCGAGCGUUAAUCGGAAUUACUGGGCGUAAAGCGCGCGUAGGUGGCUUGAUAAGCCGGUUGUGAAAGCCCCGGGCUCAACCUGGGAACGGCAUCCGGAACUGUCAAGCUAGAGUGCAGGAGAGGAAGGUAGAAUUCCCGGUGUAGCGGUGAAAUGCGUAGAGAUCGGGAGGAAUACCAGUGGCGAAGGCGGCCUUCUGGACUGACACUGACACUGAGGUGCGAAAGCGUGGGUAGCAAACAGGAUUAGAUACCCUAGUAGUC
rnacentral:rRNA from 1 species